ensembl:lncRNA
AUACACACUUCAUCAGCUUAUCCUGGCUCUUCAAUAAAUACAAGAAGUGCUUCAACUGAUAAUGCAAAGCAAUGAAAAUGUGUACCAUUCGUCAGCGUCUUUACGCCACGCCGGUCGUUCGUCGGCGUCUUUACAGUAAAGGUUGUCGUUCGUCGGCGUCUUUACAGUAAAGGUUGUCGUUCGUCGGCGUCUUUACAGUAAAGGUUGUCGUUCGUCGGCGUCUUUACAGUAAGGCUGCCGUUCGUCGGCGUCUUUACAGUAAGGCUGCCGUUCGUCGGCGUCUUUACAGUAAGGCUGUCGUUCGUCGGCGUCUUUACAGUAAGGCUGUCGUUCGUCGGCGUCUUUACAGUAAAGGUUGUCGUUCGUCGGCGUCUUUACAGUAAGGCUGUCGUUCGUCGGCGUCUUUACAGUAAGGCUGUCGUUCGUCGGCGUCUUUACAGUAAAGGCUGUCGUUCGUCGGCGUCUUUACAGUAAAGGCUGUCGUUCGUCGGCGUCUUUACAGUAAAGGUUGUCGUUCGUCGGCGUCUUUACAGUAAAGGUUGUCGUUCGUCGGCGUCUUUACAGUAAAGGUUGUCGUUCGUCGGCGUCUUUACAGUAAAGGUUGUCGUUUGUCGGCGUCUUUACAGUAAGGCUGUCGUUCGUCGGCGUCUUUACAGUAAAGGUUGUCGUUCGUCGGCGUCUUUACAGUAAAGGUUGUCGUUCGUCGGCGUCUUUACAGUAAAGGUUGUCGUUCAUCGGCGUCUUUACAGUAAAGGUUGUCGUUCGUCAGUGUCUUUACAGGAAGCUGGACAUUUGUCAGCGUUUUUAACAUUGCGCUAAUCAUUUGUUAGUGUUUUUUUCAGAACAGUUAAUGUGCUACUUCAGAAUGUGUGAAAUCAUUCACUUUCUGUAGAAAUCUCUGGUGAAAUGCUAGAACAUACAAAAUGAACAGUGGUAGUCCAUAUCUGGCUUCAUAUGUAUGCAAAUUACACUGGAACUAUCUUGGAGCUAACAUAACACUGGUUAGCUGUUAGCACAAAACAGGUUUGCUUGUGCAAACAGACGUAGGCUGCCUUCAAAUCCUAUCGGAAAUCUCUUCCUGAGUGUGCAGAGAGCUCUGUGUCUCCGAACGCCGUGCAUGCACGAUACUGCUCAUCCUAAGCACACAGUAGCCCAAGAGCUCAACUAUACUGAAUAAAACAUUGAACACAAUAUAUUUUGUCACCAUGUUACACAUUUAAUACAUCUGUUACUAACAGACUCGUAGUAUACUUUUCCAGAUUAACAAAGUAAUAAUGGAACAAUUUAUCAAUUAUACAAAUAGUAGUUAGUUGCGGCACUGAUGAAAAUAAAUAAUUUGCAGGAAUGAUCGUGAUCGGAAGCUUUUUUUGGUCCGACUACACAACCGUUCGUUCUGGUCUACUAAUCUGACUGGACUAGAGGUGUUCCAAGAGUGCUGAUGUUUAGAACAACAGUCCUGCUACAGUACGUUUCACUGUUUGUCUGUGUUCACUACAUAAAAUUCCAGCUCUAGCAAUAGUUCACUGCAUUGAAACCGUUACUACACUUUCUAUGCGCUGUCAAUCAGUCUGUGUGGUGGCAUGGCAACGCCCAACACACUACCCCAGCUUUGGCUUCUUUGGGAAUUAUUUUGACGGAGCACAGAAAAACUAAAUAUUUGGCCAUAUUGUUAAUAUUAACUUGAAUUACUUGAUAUUAAUUUCUUGUUUAUAGAACUGUUGUAUAAAAGCAAUAUCACAAGACUCCAUUACUAAAGAAAAGG